rnacentral:rRNA from 2 species
CGGAUCAGGUAGGGAUACCCGCUGAACUUAAGCAUAUCAAUAAGCGGAGGAAAAGAAACCAACAGGGAUUGCCCCAGUAACGGCGAGUGAAGCGGCAAGAGCUCAAAUUUGAAAGCUGGCUCCUUCGGGGUCCGCAUUGUAAUUUGCAGAGGAUGCUUCGGGAGCGGUCCCCAUCUAAGUGCCCUGGAACGGGACGUCAUAGAGGGUGAGAAUCCCGUAUGGGAUGGGGUGUCCGCGCCCGUGUGAAGCUCCUUCGACGAGUCGAGUUGUUUGGGAAUGCAGCUCUAAAUGGGUGGUAAAUUUCAUCUAAAGCUAAAUAUUGGCCGGAGACCGAUAGCGCACAAGUAGAGUGAUCGAAAGAUGAAAAGCACUUUGAAAAGAGAGUUAAAAAGCACGUGAAAUUGUUGAAAGGGAAGCGCUUGCGACCAGACUCGCUCGCGGGGUUCAGCCGGCAUUCGUGCCGGUGUAUUUCCCCGCGGGCGGGCCAGCGUCGGUUUGGGCGGUCGGUCAAAGGCCCUCGGAAGGUAACGCCCCUAGGGGCGUCUUAUAGCCGAGGGUGCAAUGCGACCUGCCUAGACCGAGGAACGCGCUUCGGCUCGGACGCUGGCAUAAUGGUCGUAAGCGACC